rnacentral:rRNA from 1 species
CCUACGGGAGGCAGCAGUGGGGAAUUUUGCGCAAUGCUCGUAAGAGUGACGCAGCGACGCCGCGUGAAUGACGAAGGCCUUCGGGUCGUAAAGUUCUUUCGACAGGGAAGAAAAUGCCUAUAAGUAACUGUGUAUGUAUUGACGGUACCUGUAUAAGCAGCCCUGGCUAACUCCGUGCCAGCAGCCGCGGUAAUACGGAGGGGGCGAGCGUUGUUCGGAGUGACUGGGCGUAAAGAGCACGUAGGCGGUGUUGUAAGUCAUUAGUCAAAGACUAGAGCUCAACUUUAGUAAGGCUAGUGAUACUAUAAUACGAGAGUAUCAGAGAGGAUUGCAGAAUUCCUGGGGUAGCGGUGAAAUGCGUAGAUAUCAGGAGGAAUACCGUUAGCGAAGGCGGCAAUCUGGCUGGAAACUGACGCUGAGGUGCGAAAGCGUGGGUAGCAAACAGGAUUAGAUACCCCAGUAGUC